UAAAUAGCUGUGAGCAAGAGAGUAGCUAGUGGGAACCGCAGUAGAGAGCCGUGUUGCUGGGAGACGGUCGGAACGCACUAGUGAACGUAGCUUGUGAGCUGGUUAGCUGAAAUCAGUAGGCUAACACCGGAGCACACUCCGUUAACAACGAAGAUAAGUGGGGCAUUAACGCCCAAUUUAGGUGGUACCGCGAAGAGACUUCGUCCUAAUG
rnacentral:ncRNA from 1 species